AUGGACCAUCUCAGUAGGGAGCAGAGAGGCAAUGACACAGGGGUUGGAAGGUUGGCGGGAGAGAAGGAAUUCACAGAGCUGGGAAUGCAAACAAUGAACCUUGAAGGUCAAAGCUUUGGUCCAGCAAGUUUGGAAAGGAAAGGCAUCUCAGGACAAGGGAACAGUGCAUGGAAAGAUCCAGAAGCCAAGAGAACAGAGAACAUUCAGAGAAAGCUCUCAGGGGACCCUGCAGAACUCCCAGCGUGUAUCUCUGGAAGGAUGCUCAGG
rnacentral:lncRNA from 10 species